rnacentral:rRNA from 1 species
UAACACAUGCAAGUCGAACGAAGCUUGACGAAUGAUUUCUUCGGAAUGAAAUCUGAUAUGACUGAGUGGCGGACGGGUGAGUAACGCGUGAGCAACCUGCCCUUCGGAACGGGAUAGUGUCUGGAAACGGACAGUAAUACCGUAUAACGUAUUUUUACCGCAUGAUAGAAAUACCAAAACUGAGGUGCCGAAGGAUGGGCUCGCGUCUGAUUAGAUAGUUGGUGGGGUAACGGCCUACCAAGUCGACGAUCAGUAGCCGGACUGAGAGGUUGAACGGCCACAUUGGGACUGAGACACGGCCCAGACUCCUACGGGAGGCAGCAGUGGGGAAUAUUGCACAAUGGGGGAAACCCUGAUGCAGCAACGCCGCGUGAAGGAAGACGGUUUUCGGAUUGUAAACUUCUGUUCUUAGUGAAGAAUAAUGACGGUAGCUAAGGAGCAAGCCACGGCUAACUACGUGCCAGCAGCCGCGGUAAUACGUAGGUGGCAAGCGUUGUCCGGAAUUACUGGGUGUAAAGGGAGCGUAGGCGGGAUGCCAAGUCAGCUGUGAAAACUAUGGGCUUAACCUGUAGACUGCAGUUGAAACUGGUAUUCUUGAGUGAAGUAGAGGUUGGCGGAAUUCCGAGUGUAGCGGUGAAAUGCGUAGAUAUUCGGAGGAACACCGGUGGCGAAGGCGGCCAACUGGGCUUUAACUGACGCUGAGGCUCGAAAGUGUGGGGAGCAAACAGGAUUAGAUACCCUGGUAGUCCACACUGUAAACGAUGAUAACUAGGUGUGGGGGG